UACAUGGGGUGCAAACGUUGCUCGGAAUUAUUGGGCGUAAAGCGCACGUAGGUGGUCUGUUAUGUCAGAUGUGAAAGCCCUCGGCUUAACUGAGGAAGUGCACCUGAAACUGGCAGGCUUGAGUACGAAAGAGGGUCGCGGAAUUCCCGGUGUAGAGGUGAAAUUCGUAGAUAUCGGGAGGAACACCGGUGGCGAAGGCGGCGACCUGGUUCGAUACUGACACUGAGGCGCGAAAGCUAGGGGAGCAAACGGG
rnacentral:rRNA from 1 species